UUGGAGGGCAAGUCUGGUGCCAGCAGCCGCGGUAAUUCCAGCUCCAAUAGCGUAUAUUAAAGUUGUUGCAGUUAAAAAGCUCGUAGUUGAAUUUCGGGAUCAAUUUGCUGGUCGUGCCUUCGGUACGCACUGGUAUUAUUGGUUUCUCCUUUCUGAAGAAUCACGAUGUCAUUAAUUUGGUGUCGUGAGGAAUCAGGACUGUUACUUUGAAAAAAUUAGAGUGUUUAAAGCAGGCUCACGCCUGAAUACAUUAGCAUGGAAUAAUGAAAUAGGACGUUUGAUUCUAUUUUGUUGGUUUCUAGGAUCGACGUAAUGAUUAAUAGGGAUAGUUGGGGGCAUUAGUAUUCAAUUGUCAGAGGUGAAACUCUUGGAUUUAUUGAAGACUAACUACUGCGAAAGCAUUUGCCAAGGAUGUUUUCAUUAAUCAAGAACGAAAGUUAGGGGAUCGAAGACGAUCAGAUACCGUCGUAGUCUUAACCAUAAACUAUGCCGACUAGGGAUCGGAUGAUGUUAAUUUUUUAAUGACUCAUUCGGCGCCUUACGGGAAA
rnacentral:rRNA from 1 species